AUUCUUAAAAUGAAAGGUCGGUGCAAAAGAGGACAAACCAUCUUAUCAUGUACACCUCCACGUGACCACUCCACCUUAUUUCUAACCUUGAACAUCUUUCUCUUUCUCUGGGGUGAGAAUCUCACUCCACCGCUCCAACCCUUCACCGCCCCACCCCUACCACUGUCACCACCACCGUCACUACCAUCACAGAUUCUUUGUAUUUUCCGGAGGUAACUAGGGUUCCGACGGCAACAUGAGUGGAUGAUCUGGUUUGUGAUGGAGAGAGAUGAUUGCAGCGCCACAGUCGCGCUCAAUUAAACGAUCAGUGAUUUGGGGGUUUUCGUGAUCAGGAGUGAAGUGAAGUAGGGUCAGUUCUAGGGUUUCAAGGUUGAAGUUCACGACGGUGCUCGGUGGCACCUUCCUUUCCAAUGAAACCCUAAAUCGAUCCUUGCCUUUUGCCCAUAUCAUUAUUUCGGCGAGUCGAAGUAGGCUGAGACAGAGAUUGGUCCAGACAUAAAUGGAGCGGCAUGAAAAUGCGAUUUCGAAGCAAGAAAACGUCAACUUACGGAUUGAAAGAAGUCAUCCGCUCUAGUAUGCAACAAUUGCGGGGCGCAGAAGAAAAGUUUACGGAGGUUAGGAAAUGAAAAUAAGAUUAACGGGUUGAAGUUGGAGUUCGGGUCGCACAUCGAGUCGUCGUCUGAACUUACCAAAAACCGAGUUCUAGAAUGCCGGUUUCCAUGGGUGUGGUGGUGUUGCCGCAAACGAACCAGAGGUCGUCCGGGAAUAAAGAUUAUUGGUAUGUCAUUUACUUUUUUGCAAACAUUUACUUUGUGUGGACGAGUUUGUGAAUUAUGUAUGUCAUUAACUCUUGAUGUUUACAAAUGCCAUAAUAAUCAUGAUUUUGUCAAUUA